UACGUAGGUGGCGAGCGUUGUCCGGAAUUACUGGGCGUAAAGCGCGUGUAGGCGGACCACCAAGUCGGACGUGAAAGCCCUGAGCUCAACUCAGGAACUGCAUCCGAAACUGGCGGUCUGGAGUAGUGGAGAGGAAAGCAGAAUUCCUGGUGUAGAGGUGAAAUUCGUAGAUAUCAGGAGGAACACCGGUGGCGAAGGCGGCUUUCUGGACACUUACUGACGCUGAGACGCGAAAGCGUGGGGGAGCAAACAGG
rnacentral:rRNA from 1 species